CGUCCUAUGAUGAAAUGGUAAGCACUCUGGACUUUGAAUCCAGCGAUCCAAGAUCAAAUCUCGGUUGGACCU
rnacentral:tRNA from 1 species